GAGUUUGAUCUUGGCUCAGAUUGAACGCUGGCGGCAGGCCUAACACAUGCAAGUCGAGCGGCAGCGGGAAAGUAGCUUGCUACUUUUGCCGGCGAGCGGCGGACGGGUGAGUAAUGCCUGGGAAAUUGCCCAGUCGAGGGGGAUAACAGUUGGAAACGACUGCUAAUACCGCAUACGCCCUACGGGGAAAGCAGGGGACCUUCGGGCCUUGCGCGAUUGGAUAUGCCCAGGUGGGAUUAGCUAGUUGGUGAGGUAAUGGCUCACCAAGGCGACGAUCCCUAGCUGGUCUGAGAGGAUGAUCAGCCACACUGGAACUGAGACACGGUCCAGACUCCUACGGGAGGCAGCAGUGGGGAAUAUUGCACAAUGGGGGAAACCCUGAUGCAGCCAUGCCGCGUGUGUGAAGAAGGCC
rnacentral:rRNA from 1 species